AUGGGCGUAGCUUAAAUGGUUAAAGCGGCGGUCUCCAAAACCGUUAGAUGUAGGUUCGACUCCUACCGCUCGUG
rnacentral:tRNA from 1 species